UGUGUGUGUAAGUGUGUGUGUGUGUGAGAGAGAGAGAAAAUAUACAUUUAUUCUGUUUUGUUAUUGUUGCCAGUCGUGUCCAUGAGUAUUCAACUAGGCUUGAAAUGAUUUACAUUUCCCUCUCUCUGUAGUCACAAAGCUAGAAGCUGAGAGAGGUGGCCCCUAGUAAAGACUCAACAUCUGUCUGUGGUCAUGAAGCUGAGAGAGGUGGCCCCGAGUAAAGACUCAACAUCUGUCUGUGGUCAUGAAGCUGAGAGAGGUGGCCCCGAGUAAAGACUCAACAUCUGUCUGUGGUCAUGAAGCUGAGAGAGGUGGCCCCUAGUAAAGACUCAACAUCUGUCUGUGGUCAUGAAGCUGAGAGAGGUGGCCCCUAGUAAAGACUCAACAUCUGUCUGUGGUCAUGAAGCUGAGAGAGGUGGCCCCAAGUAAAGACUCAACAUCUGUCUGUGGUCAUGAAGCUGAGAGAGGUGGCCCCGAGUAAAGACUCAACAUCUGUCUGUGGUCAUGAAGCUGAGAGAGGUGGCCCCGAGUAAAGACUCAACAUCUGUCUGUGGUCAUGAAGCUGAGAGAGGUGGCCCCGAGUAAAGACUCAACAUCUGUCUGUGGUCAUGAAGCUGAGAGAGGUGGCCCCUAGUAAAGACUCAACAUCUGUCUGUGGUCAUGAAGCUGAGAGAGGUGGCCCCAAGUAAAGAUUCAACAUAUUUUUGCAAAUGUGCAUACUGUAUAUAUUUGUGUGUACACAUACAGUUGAAGUCGGAAGUUUACAUACAUUUAGGUUGGAGUCAUUAAAACACGUUUUUCAACCACUCCACAAAUUUCUUGUUAAACUAUAGUUUUGGCAUGUCGGUAAGGACAUCUACUUUGUGCAUGACAUAAAUUUUCCAUCAAUUAUUUAUAGACAGAUUAUUUCACUUAUAAUUCACUGUAUCACAAUUCCCGUGGGUCAGAAGAUUACAUUCACUAAGUUGACUGUGCCUUUAAACAGCUUUGAAAAUUCCAGAAAAUGAUGUCAUAGCUUUAGAAGCUUC
ensembl:lncRNA